GGGUUGUGAGGUUAAGCGACUAAGCGUACACGGUGGAUGCCCUGGCAGUCAGAGGCGAUGAAGGACGUGCUAAUCUGCGAUAAGCGUCGGUGAGGUGAUAUGAACCGUUAUAACCGGCGAUUUCCGAAUGGGGAAACCCAGUGUGUUUCGACACACUAUCAUUAACUGAAUCCAUAGGUUAAUGAGGCGAACCGGGGGAACUGAAACAUCUAAGUACCCCGAGGAAAAGAAAUCAACCGAGAUUCCCCCAGUAGCGGCGAGCGAACGGGGAGGAGCCCAGAGCCUGAAUCAGUGUGUGUGUUAGUGGAAGCGUCUGGAAAGGCGCGCGAUACAGGGUGACAGCCCCGUACACAAAAAUGCACAUAUUGUGAGCUCGAUGAGUAGGGCGGGACACGUGGUAUCCUGUCUGAAUAUGGGGGGACCAUCCUCCAAGGCUAAAUACUCCUGACUGACCGAUAGUGAACCAGUACCGUGAGGGAAAGGCGAAAAGAACCCCGGCGAGGGGAGUGAAAAAGAACCUGAAACCGUGUACGUACAAGCAGUGGGAGCCUCUUAAUGGGGUGACUGCGUACCUUUUGUAUAAUGGGUCAGCGACUUAUAUUCUGUAGCAAGGUUAACCGAAUAGGGGAGCCGAAGGGAAACCGAGUCUUAACUGGGCGUUAAGUUGCAGGGUAUAGACCCGAAACCCGGUGAUCUAGCCAUGGGCAGGUUGAAGGUUGGGUAACACUAACUGGAGGACCGAACCGACUAAUGUUGAAAAAUUAGCGGAUGACUUGUGGCUGGGGGUGAAAGGCCAAUCAAACCGGGAGAUAGCUGGUUCUCCCCGAAAGCUAUUUAGGUAGCGCCUCGUGAAUUCAUCUCCGGGGGUAGAGCACUGUUUCGGCAAGGGGGUCAUCCCGACUUACCAACCCGAUGCAAACUGCGAAUACCGGAGAAUGUUAUCACGGGAGACACACGGCGGGUGCUAACGUCCGUCGUGAAGAGGGAAACAACCCAGACCGCCAGCUAAGGUCCCAAAGUCAUGGUUAAGUGGGAAACGAUGUGGGAAGGCCCAGACAGCCAGGAUGUUGGCUUAGAAGCAGCCAUCAUUUAAAGAAAGCGUAAUAGCUCACUGGUCGAGUCGGCCUGCGCGGAAGAUGUAACGGGGCUAAACCAUGCACCGAAGCUGCGGCAGCGACGCUUAUGCGUUGUUGGGUAGGGGAGCGUUCUGUAAGCCUGUGAAGGUGUGCUGUGAGGCAUGCUGGAGGUAUCAGAAGUGCGAAUGCUGACAUAAGUAACGAUAAAGCGGGUGAAAAGCCCGCUCGCCGGAAGACCAA
rnacentral:rRNA from 1 species